UACGAAGGGGGCUAGCGUUGUUCGGAUUUACUGGGCGUAAAGCGCACGUAGGUGGAUAGUUAAGUGAGGGGUGAAAUCCCGAGGCUCAACCUCGGAACUGCCUUUCAUACUGGCUGUCUUGAGUUCGGAAGAGGUGAGUGGAAUUCCAAGUGUAGAGGUGAAAUUCGUAGAUAUUUGGAAGAACACCGGUGGCGAAGGCGGUUCACUGGUCCGAUACUGACACUGAGGUGCGAAAGCGUGGGGAGCAAACAGG
rnacentral:rRNA from 1 species